rnacentral:rRNA from 1 species
CCUACGGGAGGCAGCAGUGGGGAAUAUUGGGCAAUGGGCGCAAGCCUGACCCAGCAACGCCGCGUGAAGGAAGAAGGCUUUCGGGUUGUAAACUUCUUUUCUCAGGGACGAAGCAAGUGACGGUACCUGAGGAAUAAGCCACGGCUAACUACGUGCCAGCAGCCGCGGUAAUACGUAGGUGGCAAGCGUUAUCCGGAUUUAAUGGGUGUAAAGGGCGUGUAGGCGGGAAAGCAAGUCAGAUGUGAAAACCAUGGGCUCAACCUGUGGCCUGCAUUUGAAACUGUUUUUCUUGAGUGCUGGAGAGGCAGACGGAAUUCCUGGUGUAGCGGUGAAAUGCGUAGAUAUUAGGAGGAACACCAGUUGCGAAGGCGGUCUGCUGGACAGCAACUGACGCUGAGGCGCGAAAGCGUGGGGAGCGAACAGGAUUAGAUACCCUUGUAGUC